AGAGUUUGAUCCUGGCUCAGGACGAACGCUGGCGGCGUGCUUAACACAUGCAAGUCGAGCGGAAAGGCCCUUCGGGGUACUCGAGCGGCGAACGGGUGAGUAACACGUGAGUAACCUGCCCUGGACUUUGGGAUAACCCUCGGAAACGGGGGCUAAUACCGGAUACGACAUUCCACCGCAUGGUGUGUUUGUGGAAAGUUUUUCGGUCUGGGAUGGGCUCGCGGCCUAUCAGCUUGUUGGUGGGGUGAUGGCCUACCAAGGCGACGACGGGUAGCCGGCCUGAGAGGGCGACCGGCCACACUGGGACUGAGACACGGCCCAGACUCCUACGGGAGGCAGCAGUGGGGAAUAUUGCACAAUGGGCGGAAGCCUGAUGCAGCGACGCCGCGUGAGGGAUGACGGCCUUCGGGUUGUAAACCUCUUUCAGCAGGGACGAAGCGCAAGUGACGGUACCUGCAGAAGAAGCGCCGGCCAACUACGUGCCAGCAGCCGCGGUAAGACGUAGGGCGCGAGCGUUGUCCGGAUUUAUUGGGCGUAAAGAGCUCGUAGGCGGCUUGUCGCGUCGACUGUGAAAACCCGCGGCUCAACCGCGGGCCUGCAGCCGAUACGGGCAGGCUAGAGUUCGGUAGGGGAGACUGGAAUUCCUGGUGUAGCGGUGAAAUGCGCAGAUAUCAGGAGGAACACCGAUGGCGAAGGCAGGUCUCUGGGCCGAUACUGACGCUGAGGAGCGAAAGCGUGGGGAGCGAACAGGAUUAGAUACCCUAGUAGUCC
rnacentral:rRNA from 1 species